AACGAACGCUGGCGGCGUGCCUAACACAUGCAAGUCGUGCGAGAAAGUUCCUUCGGGAGCGAGUAAAGCGGCGCACGGGUGAGUAACACGUAGGUAACCUGCCCCCCAGUCUGGAACAACUAGAGGAAACUCUAGCUAAUGCCGGAUGAGACCACGAUCCCUUCGGGGGUUGCGGCCAAAGAUGGCCUCUACUUGUAAGCUAUCGCUGAGGGAUGGGCCUGCGGGCCAUUAGCUUGUUGGUGAGGUAACGGCUCACCAAGGCUGUGAUGGCUAGCUGGUCUGAGAGGAUGACCAGCCACACUGGGACUGAGACACGGCCCAGACUCCUACGGGAGGCAGCAGUGGGAAUAUUGCGCAAUGGGCGAAAGCCUGACGCAGCGACGCCGCGUGGGUGAUGAAGGUCUUCGGGUCGUAAAGCCCUGUCGCAGGGGAAGAAUAAGCAUCGGUAUAAUACGCCGGUGCCCUGACGGUACCCUGCAAGAAAGCACCGGCUAACUCCGUG
rnacentral:rRNA from 1 species